UCUGAAGAAGCCUCACAGCUGUUGCCAGGCCA
rnacentral:piRNA from 1 species